rnacentral:rRNA from 1 species
UUGGAGGGCAAGUCUGGUGCCAGCAGCCGCGGUAAUUCCAGCUCCAAUAGCGUAUAUUAAAGUUGUUGCAGUUAAAAAGCUCGUAGUUGAAUUUCGGGAUCAGAGUGUCGGUCGUGCCUCGGUACGCACUGGUAUUAUUGGUUCCUACCUUCUGAAGAACCGCGAUGUCAUUAAUUUGGUGUCGUGGGGAAUCAGGACUGUUACUUUGAAAAAAUUAGAGUGUUUAAAGCAGGCUUACGCUUGAAUACAUUAGCAUGGAAUAAUGAAAUAGGACGUUUGAUUCUAUUUUGUUGGUUUCUAGGGUUGACGUAAUGAUUAAUAGGGAUAGUUGGGGGCAUUAGUAUUCAAUUGUCAGAGGUGAAAUUCUUGGAUUUAUUGAAGACUAACUACUGCGAAAGCAUUUGCCAAGGAUGUUUUCAUUAAUCAAGAACGAAAGUUAGGGGAUCGAAGACGAUCAGAUACCGUCGUAGUCUUAACCAUAAACUAUGCCGACUAGGGAUCGGAUGAUGUUAAUUUUUUAAUGACUCAUUCGGCGCCUUACGGGAAAC